GCCCUGCUCACUAGGAGCAAAGAUGGCGACAAUACACCAUGCGCAGUUCCCAGGAAAAAGACCCGGGGACACAACUCCAGGACUUGUAGGUCGAUAAUCGAGGUUUGAGGUAUUCGACAAGUGUUUACAAACCCUUCCCUUCCCCAGGUAGGCCCCAGCACUCUCUCCGCGGUCCCGCAUCCUAACCGCCUGCAGAUUAGAACAGAAAGCGUCUUUGCCCACUGUUCUCAACGUCACUGCACAUGCUACAGAAGUUGUGUGGGAUCGCGUCUGUGUACCACUCUCCUGUGUCAUGCACAGGUGAUAGUCACCACCGCAGGGGAUGAUGGGUUUUUGAAAGUAAGAAAUUUUCAGAUGGGAAUCUCAAACAAAAUAUCAAGAGCUGAAUCUCGUCAGCCCCUGAAUGUGGAAGGAAAAGUGUUUCUCUGUUCUGUCUCUGGAAAAAGAUUUCAAACAUCAGUGAGACUGAGGUACAGAGAUGCACAAACAGAGACCUAAGUAAGAAUGUGCCAGUAAGAUGACUAUGGAAAGAGCUUUAAUCACUUACAUAAUCUGAAAAACAUCACAACAUUCACAGUGGGGAAAACCCAUACAUAUGUCUUGUGUGUGGAUGUGGCUUCAACUGAUCAUCUCCCCUGGAGAGACACAAGGACGCCCACAACAUGGAGAAAGCAUGGAAAUGCGCGGACUGCGGGAAAGGAUUUAGUUACCCAUCUCGGUUGGAAGUCCAUCGACGCAGUCACACUGGGGAGAAACCAUUCACCUGCUCCGUGUGCAGGAAGGGAUUCGCUCGACCUUCUAGCCUUUGUUCACACCAGCAAGUUCACACCAAGGAGAAGCCAUGCACCUGUCCCAUAUGUGGGAAAGGAUUUACUCGGUCAUCCUCUCUCAUGGUACACCAGCGAAUUCACACCGAGGAGAGGCCGUACAGCUGUACUCACUGUCGAAAAACAUUCAGGUCUUCAUCCAACCUCAGUCAACACCAGCGAGUUCACACUAGGGAGAGGCCCUUCACCUGCUCCACGUGUGGGAAGGGAUUCUCAAAGACAUCCAACUUGGUGACUCACCAACGCGUUCACUCUGAGGAGAGGCCGUUCAGCUGCACUCACUGUGGAAAGAGAUUCAAACAUUCAUGCAGCCUCAGUGACCACCAGCAACUUCACACUGGGGAUGGGCUGUUCACUUGCUCCAUGUGUGGGAAGACAUUUACAAAACCUCUCAAUCUGGCAGCUCACCAGCGAAUUCACACAGGGGAGAAACCAUUCACCUGCACUGUGUGUGGGAAAGGAUUCUCAGAGACAUCCAACUUGGUGACUCACCAACGUGUUCACUCUGAGGAAAGGCCGUUCAGCUGCACUCACUGUGGAAAGAGGUUCAAACAUUCACACAGCCUCAGUGACCACCAGCGAGUUCACACUGGGGAGGGGCUGUUCACUUGCUCAGUGUGUGGGAAGACAUUCACAAAGUCUCACAAUCUGGUAACUCACCAGCAAAUUCGCACAGGGGAGAAACCAUUCACCUGCACUGUGUGUGGGAAGGGAUUCACUGCAUCAUCAACUCUCAAGUCUCACCAGCAAAUUCACACAGAAGAGAAGCCAUUCAGCUGCACUUACUGUGGAAAGAGUUUCAGGUGUUCAUCUACUCUCCUCAUUCACCAGGGAGUUCACACUGGAGAGAGACCAUUUACCUGCUCUAUGUGUGGGAAAUAAUUCAAUAGGUCCUUCAACCUAGCGGCACAUGUGCGAGUUCAUAAAUAACUGCAGAAGGAAGAUUCUACUGUUAUUGAUUCUGUGAAUCACAUUCAAGUUUGGAAGUCUGAUAAUAUCAAGAAUGUUUCUUCUGACUACACAAUGUUAUAACAGGCCAGAGUUUAAUUUUAUGGGCAGAUUUCCAUUUUUUAAAAGAAGUGCUACCUGUAAUCCUUACUGUUAAUUCAAGAACUCUCAUCUGGAAUUCAAUCUCAAAACAUUUAGAAGUAAAAGUUUGUAUUGUAAAUUGACCCUUGGUGCAAAGUCUACUGUUCAGAAUCUGAAAGGAUCCGCUGAUGAACAUUUCCUAAUUAUGCUGGAUGUCGGACACAUCAGGAGGGUGAGAGAUUUGGAAGGAACAUGGAGGUAAUGGUGUCCACAUCUCUUAUCCUGAACCUUCGAGAUGGUGAAGAUUGAGAGUUUAGGAGAUUCUGUCCAAGAGCUGGUCGAGCUUUUCAGAGGGUGCCAGAAAGGGAUCACAGAUCCAGCAGCACCUCAGAAUCUGAUGGAAGCUUCCAAUUAAUCACAACCAAAAUGUAAUUGGAUUGUGAACAUGGAUGGAAAGAACACAGUAUGCAGUGAAGAGAAAACCAACAUAUGUUCUAUGUGUGGACAAGGCUUAAGCCUAUCGUCUGGCCUGUCAAGGCACAAGUGCAGUUACUGUGUGUAGAGACCAUGGAAAUGUGGACACUGUGGGAAGCAAUUAAGUGACCAAUCCAAGCUGGAAAUUCACCAAAGCAGCCACACUGCAGACAGGCCAUGGAAAUGUAGGGACUGUGAUGAAGAAUUAACAUUCCUGCCUAAGCUGGAGAUCCAUUGGCGCAGAAUGGGGAGACACCAUUCAUGUGCUCUGAGUGUGUAAAAAGAUUUAUUCACUCUUCCUACCUUAUGACCCACCAGUGAGUUUACACUGGGGAGAUUCCUUUUAAAUGCACAGACUGCAAGAAGUGUGACAAAUUUUCAAAGGAAAUGCUGUCCCAUCACCAUGUUCACACUGAGGAGAGUCCGUUCAGAUCCUCUUACUGUGGGAAAGGGUUCAAGACGUCAUCUGAAUUCACUGUACACCAGAGAAUUCAGAGUGUGUGUGGGAAGGUAUUCACUUGGUCAUCGCACCUCACAAUAUACUAGCGAAUCUUCACUGAGGCGAGACAUUUUAACUGCCCAGAGUGUGGGAAGUGCUUUCAGAGUCUGACUAUCUGAUGAACCAUUAAUGCGUUCAUAAAGAAGAAGUACCUUUCAGAUGCUGUCUAUGUGUGGAUCUGCAUUCAAACAACCAUUUCACUUCACAGUACACCAGUGAGCUCACAAGGGGUAGAGGCUGUUCACCUAUACUGAGUAAGGAAGGGAUUCACUUGGAAAGCCCUCCUCAUUCACCAGUGAGUUCACAUGUAACUACAGGAGUUGGCCUUUGCUGUUAGUCAUAUCCAGGACUGAACCAUGUUCAUUGGUUAAUAAACCCCUGCUCAGUUUGAAUUGUUAAUAUUCUGGAUAAAACUAAAAUAAAUAGCUUUGUAAUGAAACAAAGCCUUUUAUUA